rnacentral:misc_RNA from 1 species
AAUUCUCAAGCUGGAUACUUUUUCCUUCGGGAAAGGUCAUCUUUCAAGGCUUGGUCUUGGGUUUUGCCGUGCCCUUUAUUGGAACGGCUGACCCUAAAAAUAUUAGCUGACCUUCAUGUGGCAUUGGUUCCACUCAGCGUGAUAAUGAUUAUGACCGCUGAGGACAUCUUUCGAGAUGGCCAGUUCCCAUUUGGGCCGCUUCUAAUCCUUUCACUCUCAA